rnacentral:rRNA from 1 species
UACGUGGGUGGCAAGCGUUGUCCGGAUUUACUGGGCGUAAAGCGAACGCAGGCGGAGUGUUAAGUAAGAAGUGAAAGGUUGGAGCUCAACUCUGACACGGCUUCUUAUACUGGCAUUCUUGAGUCUUGGAGAGGAAAGCGGAACGACACGUGUAGCGGUGAAAUGCGUUGAUAUGUGUCGGAACACCGAUGGCGAAAGCAGCUUUCUGGACAAGUUACUGACGCUGAG